CGCGUAGGCGGCCUUCUAAGUCGAACGUGAAAUCCCUGGGCUCAACCCAGGAACUGCGUCCGAUACUGGAAGGCUUGAAUCCGGGAGAGGGAUGCGGAAUUCCAGGUGUAGCGGUGAAAUGCGUAGAUAUCUGGAGGAACACCGGUGGCGAAGGCGGCAUCCUGGACCGGUAUUGACGCUGAGGCGCGAAGCCAGGGGAGCAAACG
rnacentral:rRNA from 1 species